UACGGAGGGUGCGAGCGUUGUCCGGAAUCACUGGGCGUAAAGGGCGCGUAGGCGGCCUGGUAAGUAGGGGGUGAAAUCCUGCGGCUUAACCGCAGGGCUGCCUUCUAAACUGUCAGGCUCGAGCACGGUAGAGGCAGAUGGAAUUCCCGGUGUAGCGGUGGAAUGCGUAGAGAUCGGGAAGAACAUCAGUGGCGAAGGCGGUCUGCUGGGCCGUUGCUGACGCUGCGGCGCGACAGCGUGGGGAGCAAACAGG
rnacentral:rRNA from 1 species